UGGUAUGUACUCCAUGAUUCUAUGCUCGGAUUUCAUAAAACUUGCAAUAAUUUGAGUAUAAGCUGUUCAUCAGAGUAGCUCAUUUAAUCGUAGAAGCAUAGCUGUAGUAGAUCGAUGAAUACUCUCCACUGAAUAAGAGAGAACAUUGUCUUCAUUAAUAUUGAUGGAUUCUAUAACUAUGAGAACCCUUUAAUAAAUAACAAAAUGGAAUGGCUCAGUUAUUUAUUUAUUUGAACGACUGGCAAAUGAGCUGCAGUUUCUCCGCCAGUGAUCAUAAAAAUAGAAUGUCAAAUAGACAAAACUGGGUAUUUAUUUUCGACACCAUUUGCUUUUUCUAUUUAAUCGAAGUGUUAAGGCCACCGAAGCUGCUCGUGAGAUUUGUGCUGUGCAUGGAGAAGGAGCAAUGCCUCAAAGUUCCACCCUCCGUUGGUUUUCGCACUUCAAAAAUGGGAAUGUUUACCUCAAGGACGGAUCACACACCGGUCAACCAGAGAAUUGGCGAAGUAAAUGGAUUGUGAUAAAAAAAAAUUGUAGUGAACCACCUUCACUCAAUGGGGAAGGUUCAGAAACUCGGCGCUUGAGUGCCAACCACUUUGAGCGAAAAUAAAAAAAAUCAACGCUCUACAAUCGCUCAACACAUGGUCUCAAACAGCGUUUUCUUUACCGCAUUGUCCCUGGCAAUGAAAAUGGUGCUUUUACGCGAAAAGAAUGGCUCAACCCCGACAAACAAGUGACUCCGCGAGCAAAACAAGACCUUCAUCGUCGAAAGACCAUGUUGUGUGUAUGGUGGGACUGGGAAGGCAUAAUUCAUUACGAACUGCUUGAGCGCAACCAAACUCUCAAUGCGGAGCUCUACCUUCAACAAUUGCACUGACUCAACGAAGCAAUUCAGCAAAAAAACCGAAUUGGUGAAAUGGCGUUCUUCCGCAACACGACACCGCCCAUCCUCACAUCUCUAAUAUGACCAAAACCACAAUUCAAGAACACGAACGGGAAGUGCUGCCUCAUCCUCCAUACUUUCCAGAUUUUCAGCUCUUUCAACCGCUUUUGAAUGCUUUGCGCGGUGUAUCGUUCAAUAAUGACGUGGAAUUGAGGGUUUGGUUGUACGAAUUCUUUGAGUCAAGACCGGGAGAUUUCUAUCGCCGAGGCACUGAAAAACUUAUUGAACGAUGGGAGGAAGUCGUAAACAACAACGAAGAGUAUAUUAUUGAUUAAUUUAUUGUAGUUUUCUUUAUGUUUAAAAUAAGUUUGAAAAAACGCUCAUGAAUUAUUCCUCAACCCAAUAUUAAGGG